AUUGAACGCUGGCGGCAGGCCUAACACAUGCAAGUCGAGCGAGCGGCGGACGGGUGAGUAAUGUCUGGGAAACUGCCCGAUGGAGGGGGGUAAAUACUGGAAACGGUAGCUAAUAACGCAUACUAUUGGAUGUGACCAGAUGGGAUGAGCUAGUAGGUGGGGUAACGGCUAACCCAGGCGACGAUCCCUAGCUGGUCUGAGAGGAUGACCCGCAACACUGGAACUGAGCCACGGUCCAGACUCCUACGGGAGGCAGCAGUGGGGAAGAGUGCACAAUGGGCGCAAGCCUGAUGCAGCAAUGCCGCGUGGGUGAAGAAGGUCUUCGGGUUGUAAAGCACUGUCAGCGGGGAGGCGUUACCCGCAGAAGAAGCACCGGCUAACUCCGUGCCAGCAGCCGCGGUAAUUC
rnacentral:rRNA from 1 species